GACCUGCGGAGGGAUCAUUACCGAGUUUACAACUCCCAAACCCCUGUGAACAUACCUCUAUACGUUGCCUCGGCGGAUCAGCCCGCGCCCUGUAAAAAGGGACGGCCCGCCCGAGGACCCUAAACUCUGUUUUUAGUGGAACUUCUGAGUAAAACAAACAAAUAAAUCAAAACUUUCAACAACGGAUCUCUUGGUUCUGGCAUCGAUGAAGAACGCAGCAAAAUGCGAUAAGUAAUGUGAAUUGCAGAAUUCAGUGAAUCAUCGAAUCUUUGAACGCACAUUGCGCCCGCCAGUAUUCUGGCGGGCAUGCCUGUUCGAGCGUCAUUUCAACCCUCAAGCUCAGCUUGGUGUUGGGACUCGCGGUAACCCGCGUUCCCCAAAUCGAUUGGCGGUCACGUCGAGCUUCCAUAGCGUAGUAAUCAUACACCUCGUUACUGGUAAUCGUCGCGGCCACGCCGUAAAACCCCAACUUCUGAAUGUUGACCUCGGAUCAGGUAGGAAUACCCGCUGAACUUAAGCAUAUCAAUAA
rnacentral:rRNA from 1 species